rnacentral:rRNA from 1 species
ACGUAGGGAGCAAGCGUUGUCCGGAAUUAUUGGGCGUAAAGGGUGCGUAGGCGGCUUUGCAAGUCAGAUGUGAAAUCCCCGGGCUUAACUCGGGUAUUGCAUUUGAAACUGUAAAGCUUGAGUAAAGAAGAGGUAAGUGGAAUUCCUAGUGUAGCGGUGAAAUGCGUAGAUAUUAGGAGGAACACCAGUGGCGAAGGCGACUUACUGGUCUUUUACUGACGCUGAGGCACGAAAGCGUGGGGAGCAAACAG